UACCAGCUCUCCGAGUGGUAGGGAUGAUUAUUGGGCUUAAAGCGUCCGUAGCCGGCUUAGCAAGUCUCCUGUUAAAUUCAGCGACCUAAUCGUUGAGCCGCGGGAGAUACUACUAGGCUAGGAGGCGGGAGAGGUCAACGGUACUUCCGGGGUAGGGGUGAAAUCCUAUAAUCCCGGGAGGACCACCAGUGGCGAAGGCUGUUGACUAGAACGCGCUCGACGGUGAGGGACGAAAGCUGGGGGAGCGAACCGGAUUAGAUACCCGGGUAGUCCCAGCUGUAAACGAUGCGAGCUAGGUGUUGGGGUGGCUACGUGCCACUUCAGUGCCGCAGGGAAGCCAUUAAGCUCGCCGCCUGGGGAGUACGGCCGCAAGGCUAGAAACUUAAAGGAAUUGGCGGGGGAGCACCACAAGGCGUGAAGCUUGCGGUUC
rnacentral:rRNA from 1 species